rnacentral:rRNA from 1 species
GACGAACGCUGGCGGCGUGCCUAACACAUGCAAGUCAACUUGACUGAAGGAGCAAUCUGACAGUAGAGUGGCGCAAGGGUGCGUAACGCGUAAGUAACUUGCCCAAGGUAAGGAAUAACGUCGAGAAAUCGGCGCUAAUACCUCAUAAUGCAGCGGAUCCGCAUGGAUAUGUUGUUAAAGGUUUACCGCCUUGGGAUAGGCUUGCGUCUGAUUAGUUAGUUGGUGUGGUAACGGCACACCAAGGCUACGAUCAGUAACUGGUCUGAGAGGAUGAUCAGUCACACUGGAACUGAGACACGGUCCAGACUCCUACGGGAGGCAGCAGUGAGGAAUAUUGGGCAAUGCUCGAAAGAGUGACCCAGCAACGCCGCGUGGAGGAUGAAGGUAUUCUAUAUCGUAAACUCCUGUGAGAGCAGACGAAAGACAGAUUAUAAUCUGGAUGACUGUAUGCUCAGAGGAAGCCCCGGCU